rnacentral:rRNA from 1 species
UACACUUGUAAAGUGGCGAACGGGUGAGGAAUACAUGGGUAACCUACCCUCGAGUGGGGAACAACCAGCCGAAAGGUUGGCUAAUACCGCGUACGCUUCCGGGUCUUCGGAUUCGGAAGGAAAGUCAUACCGUGGGUAUGACGCUCAAGGAUGGGCUCAUGUCCUAUCAGCUUGUUGGUGGGGUAACGGCCUACCAAGGCGACGACGGGUAGCCGGCCUGAGAGGGCGACCGGCCACACUGGGACUGAGACACGGCCCAGACUCCUACGGGAGGCAGCAGUGGGGAAUAUUGCGCAAUGGGCGAAAGCCUGACGCAGCGACGCCGCGUGUGGGAUGAAGGCCUUCGGGUUGUAAACCACUGUCGGGAGGGACGAAUGCGCCGCAAGGCGAGUGACGGUACCUCCAAAGGAAGCACCGGCUAACUCCGUGCCAGCAGCCGCGGUAAUACGGAGGGUGCGAGCGUUGUCCGGAAUUACUGGGCGUAAAGCGUGCGCAGGCGGUUAUGUAAGACAGAUGUGAAAUCCCCGGGCUCAACCUGGGAACUGCAUUUGUGACUGCAUAGCUAGAGUACGGUAGAGGGGGAUGGAAUUCCGCGUGUAGCAGUGAAAUGCGUAGAUAUGCGGAGGAACACCGAUGGCGAAGGCAAUCCCC